UCCGCCUACGGGGGGCAGCAGUGGGGAAUAUUGCACAAUGGGGGAAACCCUGAUGCAGCGACGCCGCGUGAAGGACGAAGUAUUUCGGUACGUAAACUUCUAUCAGCAGGGAAGAAAAUGACGGUACCUGACCAAGAAGCCCCGGCUAACUACGUGCCAGCAGCCGCGGUAAUACGUAGGGGGGCAAGCGUUAUCCGGAUUUACUGGGUGUAAAGGGAGCGCAGACGGCUGUGCAAGUCUGGAGUGAAAGGCGGGGGCCCAACCCCCGGACUGCUCUGGAAACUGUAAAGCUGGAGUGCAGGAGG
rnacentral:rRNA from 1 species